ACUGAUGGGGUCCCCAUGGCAGACGGAGGCCUUCCUCUCUCAGUCCACCCAGGUGCUUUCUUACCUGCACGAUGUAGUCACAAUCUUCCACCUCGAACGCAAUGUCCUUCACUCCGUCACCGUGUUUCACCAGGCCCUGAACCCAGAGCCCACCCACGGAGCCAUGCGUCCACCCUCCCAGAACCCAGAUCCCACCCACAGAGCCAUGCGUCCACCCUCCCCGGGCACCUCACCUUUGUUCCAGGGGUUGAGCGCUGAGGAGAGGACAAACACAAUCUAAGAUAGGAGGAGAAGGAGGUUUUCUGAGCACCUGUGGGGUCAGUGUUGGGCCAGGCUGAGGAGGAAACGAAACUAGGAAGGGCCGUGUUGCAUGGCUGUACAAAGAUGCCAGCGGAGGGGUCGGUGGGAGCUGAAUUAUAUGUUUUUGUUGUUGUAUUCAGAGUAUCUGGCCCACCCCUGGCCUGAUCCUUCUACCUGCUUGGCGUUGCCAACCCAGAAGGUCACAGAGUGGAAGUGGAGGAAUCGGCCUCUCUCAGGCUGCAGAAGGAGAGAAGAGGCAAAGGCCAAUGUUUACUAACUCAAGGAAGUGUGUCAACAGCAGUGGGUUGCAAAGGCUGGCAGGCAUCUAGAGGUUAAAAGGAAAAAAUCUUCUGCAGAAGGAACAUGAUUCACCAGAUGGUUUGAGGAACUUGAGAUUCAAGAAGAGGAAGAAUUGCCCAAAUAACUUGUUCUUUGUGGCUAG
rnacentral:lncRNA from 1 species